UCCUUGUGGCUAUGGCGCUGUGUUCUCGAUGGCCUUUGUCGUUUCUCCCGGCGAUCGAUCGCGGCACCCCGAUGGAUCCCGAUCAAGCACUGCGCGCGAUCCGCAUUCAUCGUCGCGUUUGCUCGUAAUUUGUGCAAUCAUUUUUGAUCCCGUUCUUAAAGAUUGAUCUGAGUAGUUUGCUCCCUAGAUCUGCUGUCGAUCGAGCUGACAACGAAGUCAUCUAUCAUGAGGUUCUCCUGGAUGCGCUACGUCGACGAUGCCAGCUUUUGGGCUUUUGGGUUGGAAAAUUUAAAGCAACUUGAGAAAGUAAGAUUGAAUUGAAGACAAUAUCUAGUGCAUAUGCCUGAAGAUUUCUAAUUUAGCGCACCAAAGAAAGGGACUAUGGUCUGACAGAAGUGGUUGGCGAUUUCAAAAUUCAUUUCCUUGAUCGGCAGGGAGAUUUGUUUAUUGCUGAUUAAAUACUACAUUCACAGAGAAUAGGAAGUUUUUGAAUGCUUCUGAUCUUGAUGGCUUUGACAAGAGGAAGUUGCCAUAUCCAGAAUUCCAGAUUGAGUUGGUGUGCUUGUGGAUUAUGAUGGCGCUAAACCAAAUCCUCCAUGACAAACUGAUUCAAACACCAAGGAAUCUCCUGAUGGCACUACAUCUGCCACUAAAACUAAGAUUGCUGGGACUCUAAAAGCCAAGACAAGGACAACAGUUUCUCUGAUAGCGAAGAAGAAGGGUCUUCCAGGGGCAGGCGUCAAAAGAUGGGUGACGACGAUACACAUGGUUCAAAAGUUACAACAGAAGAAAUUGAAACAAAGACUUUGAAAGAGUAAAGCACAAGGAAUUGGAGACAUAUAAUUGAAGAAUGAACCAAAAGUCACUGAUUCUGUUGAUGCUAAAAUCAAAUCAA